rnacentral:rRNA from 1 species
AUUGAACGCUGGCGGCAGGCUUAACACAUGCAAGUCGAGCGGGGAAGGGUAGCUUGCUACCUAACCUAGCGGCGGACGGGUGAGUAAUGCUUAGGAAUCUGCCAUUUAGUGGGGGACAACAUUCCGAAAGGAAUGCUAAUACCGCAUACGUCCUACGGGAGAAAGCAGGGGAUCUUCGGACCUUGCGCUAAAUGAUGAGCCUAAGUGGGAUUAGCUAGUUGGUGGGGUAAAGGCCUACCAAGGCGACGAUCGUGAGCGGGUCUGAGAGGAUGAUCCGCCACACUGGGACUGAGACACGGCCCAGACUCCUACGGGAGGCAGCAGUGGGGAAUAUUGGACAAUGGGCGGAAGCCUGAUCCAGCCAUGCCGCGUGUGUGAAGAAGGCCUUAUGGUUGUAAAGCACUUUAAGCGAGGAGGAGGCUACUAGUAUUAAUACUACUGGAUAGUGGACGUUACUCGCAGAAUAAGCACCGGCUAACUCUGUGCCAGCAGCCGCGGUAA